rnacentral:rRNA from 1 species
GUGGGGAAUAUUGGACAAUGGGCGAAAGCCUGAUCCAGCCAUGCCGCGUGUGUGAAGAAGGUCUUCGGAUUGUAAAGCACUUUAAGUUGGGAGGAAGGGCAGUAAGUUAAUACCUUGCUGUUUUGACGUUACCGACAGAAUAAGCACCGGCUAACUUCGUGCCAGCAGCCGCGGUAAUACGAAGGGUGCAAGCGUUAAUCGGAAUUACUGGGCGUAAAGCGCGCGUAGGUGGUUUUGUAAGUUGGAGGUGAAAUCCCCGGGCUCAACCUGGGAACUGCCUCCAAAACUGCAUGACUAGAGUACGGUAGAGGGUAGUGGAAUUUCCUGUGUAGCGGUGAAAUGCGUAGAUAUAGGAAGGAACACCAGUGGCGAAGGCGACUACCUGGACUGAUACUGACACUGAGGUGCGAAAGCGUGGGGAGCAAACAGGAUUAGAUAUCCCUGUAGUCC